rnacentral:rRNA from 1 species
GACGAACGCUGGCGGCGUGCUUAACACAUGCAAGUCGAACGGAGUGGCGAACGGGUGAGUAACACGUGGGUGACCUGCCCUGCACUUCGGGAUAAGCCUGGGAAACUGGGUCUAAUACCGGAUAGUGUGGGAUGGGCGCGGGGCCUAUCAGCUUGUUGGUGGGGUAAUGGCCGACCAAGGCGGCGCCGGAUAGCCGGCCUGCGAGGGUGGACAGCCACAAUGGGACUAAGGCAGGGACCAGAGGGGAACGGGGGACAGUGGUGGAGAAUGUUGCGCAAGAGGGGGGAGCAUGAUACAAGGGCGCCGCGGUGGUGAAGACGGCCGUCGGGUGGGAAACUCCUUGCACCUUAGACGCGGUAGAUGAAGAAGAAGCACCGGCUAACUACGUGCCAGCCGCCGCGGUAAUUC